rfam:Triticum aestivum genome assembly, contig: Triticum_aestivum_CS42_TGACv1_scaffold_473073_6AL
UUUAUACUCCUUCCGUUCGGAAAUAUUUGUCAUAAAAUGGAUAUAUCUAGACGCAUUUUAGUUCUACAUACAUCCACUAUUAUUCAUCUCUGUGACAAGUAAUUUCAGACGGAGGAAGUAGAAU